rnacentral:rRNA from 1 species
CCAAGGAGUCUAACAUGUACGCAAGCAUGCGGGACAAGCGAAGCCCUAUUGCUAUAAUGAAAGUGACUGAGAUGUGAUCCCGUUUGACAGCGGGCGCAACAUCGGCGUUCUAUGUAGAACAGCAAGAGUGUAUAUGUUGGUACCCGAAAGAUGGUGAACUAUGCCUGAGCAGAGCGAAGCCAGGGGAAACUCUGGUGGAAGCUCGAAGCGAUUCUGACGUGCAAAUCGAUCGUCAGACUUUGGUAUAGGGGCGAAAGACUAAUCGAACCAUCUA